AUGGAACAGCAUCAGAACUUGAGCCCAGGGCCUGCCACCCCUGUGUAUGCAUGUGACAGGUCCCUAACCUCUCUGGGCUCAGAGGGCACAUCUGUAAACCGCAGGGGGCUGGCAACCUGCUUGUCAAGGCUGCUGGAAGGCCCCGAUGGAUGCUGCAGCCCUGGGUUAAGCUCCCAGACAGAGAGGACCAGCCCCACUUCCCCUCCAGGAUCCUCAGAAUCAGGCAGUCUAGUUACAAACAGGUCUCCCUUUGGAGAGCAAGGAAGAUGGUUUAAAAGCAGAGAGCAGGGACCCAGAAAUGUGGCCUGCCUGCCCCCCACCCCAACCCAAGAAAACAGAGGCAGGGCCCUUGAGUGCAGUCUGUUCCUCUAUGAUGGUUCUCUCCUUUACUCCGUGUUCCCCGGGCACAAAGGCGUCCCUGGGGUGCCCUGGGGUCCCCGGGCACAAAGGCCUGGACCCCAGUGGGAUGCCCUUCUUUCUUUAGUGAUGAAAGGCACAGAUGAGAGCAGAUGUAGCUCCUUCGAGGAAGCAGAUAUGAAAGGCCUGGGUGCUUCUGGAAACACCUCAGAAGCAUUUGCAGCGGAAAUCAAAGCUGCAGCAAAAUUCAUAAUUGGAAACCCCUUUAUUACAUUAAUUAUCCCUCUUGGAGACCAGAGCAGGGCUUCCCAGGAAGCUUUUAACAUCCUGCAUUAUGGCCGUGGGCGUCUCAGGGCUGCGUGCGGAGAGCAUGGGCCUCGUCAAUUAUACAUGGCCCCGCAGGCAGGCGGGGGGCAUGCUCUGCUGGGAGCGGUGGGGCUGGACCACGAUCUGCUCCGCUGGGAGAGCGAGCAGAAUGUGGCUCAUCUCCAGGCUGCCCUCCGGGCUGUGCCUCCUCUGUGGAGUGAUGUGCAACUGAAGAGAAAAAUCACUCCAGUGAUGCAGGCUAACAGGGAAAAUAAUCGUUGGGAAAUUUGUGCAAAAUGGGACUUUUUCUUAAAGACUUUUUUUUUAUGUGGACCAUAUUUAAAGUCUUCAAUUUGUUACAAUAUCGUUUCUGUUUUAUGUUCUGGUUUUUGGGGCAUGAGGCAUGUGAGAUCUUAG
ensembl:lncRNA